rnacentral:rRNA from 1 species
UUCACACUGUGACGGUAGCUUACCAGAAAGGGACGGCUAACUACGUGCCAGCAGCCGCGGUAAUACGUAGGUCCCGAGCGUUGUCCGGAUUUAUUGGGCGUAAAGCGAGCGCAGGCGGUUUGAUAAGUCUGAAGUUAAAGGCUGUGGCUCAACCAUAGUUCGCUUUGGAAACUGUCAAACUUGAGUGCAGAAGGGGAGAGUGGAAUUCCAUGUGUAGCGGUGAAAUGCGUAGAUAUAUGGAGGAACACCGGUGGCGAAAGCGGCUCUCUGGUCUGUAACUGACGCUGAGGCUCGAAAGCGUGGGGAGCGAACAGGAUUAGAUACCCUGGUAGUCCACGCCGUAAACGAUGAGUGCAGUCGACGCGGCCG